AGUAAGGUGGCAGAAAAAUGCCUCAGAUUUAAGCUCUGAAAAUGAAGUUAUUACUUCCCUUCCUA
rnacentral:tRNA from 1 species